AGGUUGAGACGUGAUGCCGAGCCGUUUCUGGUGAAGUCAUUGAUCCUAUGCUGCCGAGAAAAGCCUCUAGCGAUGUUCUGAGCGGCCCGUACCCUAAACCGACACAGGUGGUCAGGUAGAGAAUACCGAGGCGACGGGUGAACUGUGGUUAAGGAACUCGGCAAAUUGCCCCCGUAACUUAGGGAGAAGGGGGGCCGGACGCGUGAAGCCCCUUGCGGGUGGAGCGUGGUAUGGCCGCAGAGAGCAGGGGGAAGCGACUGUUUACUAAAAACACAGGUCCAUGCCAAGUCGUAAGACGAUGUAUAUGGACUGACGCCUGCCCGGUGCUGGAACGUUAAGGGGACCUGUUAGCUCUUCGGGGCGAAGCGGAGAACUUAAGCGCCAGUAAACGGCGGUGGUAACUAUAACCAUCCUAAGGUAGCGAAAUUCCUUGUCGGGUAAGUUCCGACCUGCACGAAUGGCGUAACGACUUCCCCACUGUCUCAACCACAGGCCCGGCGAAAUUGCAGUACGAGUAAAGAUGCUCGUUACGCGCGGCAGGACGGAAAGACCCCGGGACCUUUACUAUAGCUUGACAUUGGUAUCUGAAUUAGCUUGUGUAGGAUAGGUGGGAGCCUGUGAAGCUUGGACGCCAGUUCGGGUGGAGGCAAUGUUGAAAUACCACUCUGGUUGGUUUGGGUAUCUAACUUGCGGCCCUGAUCGGGUCGAGGGACAGUGUCUGGUGGGUAGUUUAACUGGGGCGGUUGCCUCCUAAAGGGUAACGGAGGCGCCCAAAGGUUCCCUCAGCCUGGUUGGCAAUCAGGUGUUGAGUGUAAGUGCACAAGGGAGCUUGACUGUGAGACUGACGGGUCGAGCAGGGACGAAAGUCGGGACUAGUGAUCCGGCACUUGCGUGUGGAAGCGGUGUCGCUCAACGGAUAAAAGGUACCCCGGGGAUAACAGGCUGAUCUUCCCCAAGAGUCCAUAUCGACGGGAUGGUUUGGCACCUCGAUGUCGGCUCGUCGCAUCCUGGGGCUGUAGCAGGUCCCAAGGGUUGGGCUGUUCGCCCAUUAAAGCGGUACGCGAGCUGGGUUUAGAACGUCGUGAGACAGUUCGGUCCCUAUCCGCCGUGCGCGUUGGAUACUUGAGAAGGGCUGUCCCUAGUACGAGAGGACCGGGACGGACGAACCUCUGGUGUGCCAGUUGUUCCGCCAGGAGCAUGGCUGGUUGGCUACGUUCGGAAGGGAUAACCGCUGAAAGCAUCUAAGCGGGAAGCCUGCUUCGAGAUGAGGUAUCCCACCACCUUUGAGUGGGUAAGGCUCCCAGGAGACUACUGGGUUGAUAGGCCGGAGAUGUAAGCACGGUAACGUGUUGAGUUGACCGGUACUAAUAGGCCGAGGGCUUAACC
rnacentral:rRNA from 1 species